rnacentral:tRNA from 1 species
GGGAGGAUGGCCGAGUGGUUUAAGGCGGCAGAUUUAAGCUCUGCUAUCGAAAGAUGCGUGGGUUCGAACCCCACUCCUCUCA